GCUGGGGAUAUAGCUCAGCUGGUAGAGCACUUACCUCACAUGCACAAGGCCCUGGGUUCAAUCCCCAGCACAACA
rnacentral:tRNA from 1 species